ACUGAGAGAAUGAAUCAAGCAGUGAUUGCAGGAUCAAAUCCUGACUGAGCUCACUAUCCAUAGCAAAACCUAAUUGACUUAAUCCGGUGACCAAGUCUAUAACCAUAAGAACAUGGUUUUGCACUGGAGUUCCUUCAUUCAUUCUAGCACGGAACAACUGCUUAGAUAUCUCAUACCUAGCAGUCCUGCUUUGUUCUCCAUACAACUCUUUUAAAUUGAGAAGUAUGGAUUGAGUGUCC
rnacentral:lncRNA from 1 species